rnacentral:tRNA from 1 species
ACCCUGGGCCCUGACCUGGGAAAAAGCA